UUCUAUGCUGCUUCGUGACUUUUGUCGCAUUGCUCCAAUGGUGGAAAAAUUCACUCGGUAGAAGAGGGAGGAAGCUUGGUAAUAGAAAUGAUACAGUGAAACUGACAAUGCCAAAGAUCGGGGGAGAGAAUUAGGAGAGGGAUGCUUCGAGAGAUCAUGGCCAAAUUUUCGCUUCAGCUUUCCUACUAGGAGUCUUGGCGCUCUACAAAAUCGUCCAGAGGUCAGUCCACCUUGCGAGCCUGAUGGAAUUAGCAGUGGAAAAUAAAAGAGGACAUCUGGUGAAAAUGACAUAGCUAAACAGAAAGGCUACGAGACGAGCCUCCACCUCCAAACAGCUAUAGACCCUGUCUAGGUUGGGGAGUUUUAUCUCGAAUAACCAAACGAUCCAUUAAGCACACGAGUCAGCCGAUAUCUAGAAUCAAAUUCGAAUCCAGACAUCCAGGGACUCUAGUUGAAAACGGCUCUGACUAACCAACUGGGAGAGGACAGAAACUCGGCCUGACAACAGCGAACCCUCGAGCUCCAAAAUAGCUGCAUAGUUUCUGCUCCGAGUCGUCGGGCUCUGGGCACACAGAGCCCAGCACAGUCGAAAAAUCCUGUGACCAUUAUGGAUAUCCAAAAAACAAUAACGGGUAUAGCUGUCAUUAUCAUUGACGAGAUUCACCGAUAACUCCAUAUACUGUAAAGAGAAAGAACAUAAGGAUCAUCUGACAAGAUCUCAUAAUAACUCCUUAUGCAAUCAUCAUGAGUCACGAUUGACGCCUACGAUAUAUGAUAAUUCUAUCUGAAUGACUAUCUAUAUAUGAUAAUUCUAUAUGAAUGACUAUCAGACAUUUCCUCGAUCGAAACUCGUAGUUGACUUUUCAAUACUGUCAAAGGGUAUAGAUGAUUUUUAAAUUUACGAAAAAUCAUUUUAUCAUUUUAUCAGACGUACUUCUAUUUUCUUAUUAUCAGAUCCAAUAUUCCUCGUACGAAUAAUCAUGGCGCAUCCAUGCCUAAGAUAUACAUCCGCAAUUUGCGUGAAGAGCAUUCUCAUGCAAAGCAGGAUAUGCUUCCACCCAUGCAAAUCUAACCAAGUCUCUUCGAAGUUUAUUCCAAGGCACUGCUAUAUUAAGCGGAAGCAUAAAAAUAGUCGCCAUUAUUGCACCCAAUUAUAUAGGAUGUUUCAUAAAUUGUAUCCUGUAUCCAUACGUCAGACCUUAUCUACUUGGUUGAACGAGAAGGAUUUAUCUGAAAAUUAAAACUUGUAACUGAUACAAACGGCUGGAUGACAUAUAGAUAUACCUGUAUAUUUUUUUAUCGAUAAGACUAUGCAUAUCAACGUUAUCAGAUAUCUAAUCAUACCUGAUAGAAAUCCCGUAAAAUUAUUUUAACUGUGUACGUGUAACCCAAUGAACAGUAACUCACAAAAUUUUAGCCAUAUUUUUAUUCUAAUAUUGAAAAGUGUCUGAACAAAUUUUUGACGCUGUGCCGUUUUGACGUGUACUGUACUUCGAAGAUCCUUUUUCACAAAAUGGAGAAAAAAACUGAAAAAGUAUUUUCAAUGCAUCUGGCUAUGUGAUAUUUUUGUCUUCUCCUGUCGAGUUCUCUGAGAAGCCACGCUGCUUAGUUAAGUACACAUAACGUACCAGGCACUUAGACGUUGCCGAGAAAAUUAAAUAAAUAAAUAAACAAGUACAUUCUAAUCGCUGUGUAUUUUGUAAUACGUCAAAAAUUAUGACAAAAUUUUCUAAUAAGUUACAUAAGAGUCUAAUGUGCGAUUUCUAGCUUCAGCUGUAACAGAAGCUUCGGAAGCUUAGUCUUGCGAGAAAAUUUUUGGAAAAUUCCUCGUUAUUUGACUUGGCAUCAUUUUAUUGCGGCAGCUGUCGAGGUAGCCGGAAGUCACCUGUUACCAAAUUAUUUUAUGUCGUGGGCCGAUUUACUCGACCUCGAAUAUCAUCAUAGCGACGGAAUCCUCCUUGAAAACAAUUGUUGUUUUAUAUUAUUACAUAACUAGCCAGUAUCCAACUCAUUUAUUUUUUUGAUACAAUUUCAUUAUAAGUGAAAAAAUAAUAAUUGGAGAUCGACCCUUUGAGUAUUUGUAUAAAGGUACUGUUUAUUCGUAUUACAAAGGAAUUAAUGACAAUAUGUAUUCGCAGCUGACAACAGAGAUAACAGAUGGACUAAUGAAUGACGAAACGUCAUUUUGACAGAUUUGCUGAAAUUUUUACAAACUUUCAAAAGACAGCAUCCUGUUUUACGCAAUCAGACGUGUCAACGUACCAACGUAAAUCUAAGUAUAGAAUGAGCUUUUUUUGUGUACAGUCGAGUAGUCCUAACGACCUGGCAUAGUCAACCAUACAGUAUAGUUGUAUAAUUAGAGAAAUUUGAACAGAAGCAGAUACGUGAGUACAAUGAACUCUAUACAAAACAAAUUCAAGUGUUUUUUUUGUAUUUCUCCUAGACACAGCAGAAACAAGUACUCUUUUUAAUGAACAUUCCGAAUUCUCUGAAAAUAAAAUAAUUGAGAUUUUAAUCCUCGACCUCGAUUCUUCAAGGAUGUCAAUAACUGUUCUGAUACGAUUCGCUGAUUUCCGACUGAUUCGCUAAUUGUUAAAAUGUUUUUACAAAAAUUCCAUGUUAUUCAUAAAAAAAAUAAAAGAGUAUCUGGUGUACAUAUGACUUGUCAAUGUAACAAUUUAAUUGGGCAUUUAAUUAUAGUUAUAAUAAAUAAUCGUAUAAAUAAUAAAAUGUAAUAGGUAAUACAGUUGGUAACUAUCUUAGACUAUCCUCGAAGGUUCAUGUGAUUUCUAAGGUCCGCUCGACUGAUCUCUGGCAACCGGCGAGGUUAACGCUGAGGUCAGCCGUGGGUUUUAACAAGUAUUUUGACUAAAGCCAAGCGCAGACACAACAAGUAAACAAGUAAGUGAGUUUCGAGGGUGGCAAAUGGCGCGAGUAGGUAUGAAAAAUUUUAUUGGUAAAACAUUCUGAACAUUGUUACAGAUAAUACAACAAGGGAGUAUAAGGAUCCACGUAAACAAUAAAUUCUGUGGCGUCGCUCAACCGGCAAAUCAAAUCGAUUCAAUCGAUCCGAUCGAAUGCGGAGGAAUCGACAGCAAUCCAGCAUUUGCAAACUGGUGCAGGAAAUUUAUUUUCUUUUCGCAAGCAAAACCCUAUUUCCUAUUGCAUUAAUGGGCCCAAGCUUUAUGCAAUGCUGUACAUGGCCGUCGGUCGUGACGAUUUUUUCCUUUUAAUUCCCACCAAUCCACGUCUAUUCACCGGUUGAAUCGUUUGAUUUAUUUGUUGAUAAAACUAAUUAAGUUUACAAGGUUCAUUAAGAGCGGAUAAGAAAUUUAUAAAAUUAUUAUAUAUAAUUAAUGCGUUGGUCAAGUGCACAGAGUAUGCGGACAUUUUGAAAGCGAGGAAAAGUAAAAAAGUUCAAUAACGUGUUAUUCAAGUUCACUUUUGAAUCUGCCCUUCUGUGGUUGACUGUACCGCACGAUAUUCCUGCUUAGCAACCAACGUGGAUAGUAACCUGGGGUCGAAUUCCCGCGUCGUUCUAAGAAUAUAUUUAGAUCUUCAAAUCUCGAAUCGAUAGUCGUCCACGAGACUCGGUCCUGCUAAAUAUAAAGGAUUGUAAUAUUUAUAGUCAUCGGCAAAACUCGUAGUAUGUUAAAGCAGUAGGAGACAGAGGUAUUACUGGUAGGCGUAUCUAUUUUUGAAAAUAAAAAUUAUAAAUGCAAGUGAACGUACGGACUCUUUGUAUGUGUUGAAUUAUUGAUCUGGUAUUGUAUCAAUAUGCAGGAUAUUAUCUCUUUCCAGGUAUAUUCGCUUUAGUUUUUCAUUUCUAAUUCUAUACCAUUGUUCUUGUAUCGAUUCUAAAUAAAAAUAUACGCUUCGCGUGGUAUCUCGUCCUAGCAGGUUGGCGUGGAGGAUCUACUGUCUUUAAAAGAGUCCAUUUUCUUAGCCAAUGACUGUACGAAAACAGGUUUCUUCUUGGGCCACGUUCCCUUAUAGGCAGUAACUCAUGCGUGGAUCAGUUCCAAAAGAAUUCACGAGAGGAGGUACGACGAUGCGAUAAAUUCAUCAUAAUCUAAGUGCUGUACAUCAAUUCGUGAAAGACAGUAACUGUAAACCUUGGGCUUCUGCUAAGUAGGUCUACCAGUCUGUAGGCUGAAGUGCAAUGUACCUUGCUGACUGUGAGUCACAAGAUCUAAAUGACUGGGCGCAGUACUGACCAUUAUAACCAGAAGAAAAAUCUAGUUAAAAAAUAUUAAUUAAAAGGAAGAAGCGCAACUAAUUUUACAAAUGUGAAAGUCACGUCUACCAACAAAUCACAUGGAGGCUUUACGAUCGGUCGAAUAAAGUUUUACGUUUUACACUCAUUCAAGAUACAUAACCUGUUAUUACAAUGGCGAUCUUUGUAAAAUUUAUUAUCUUAUCCGUUGGCUUUCGGUAGAAACUAAUAAAACAUUACCUGUACUCUUUUAAUCUACAGCUGCUCCGCCAAGUCCUAUAGGAACACUUUGUAGAAUCUUAUUCUAUAGUCUCGAACUCUCAACUCAGUGAGUGGGUCUUGUCAUGUAC